UACGUAGGGUGCGAGCGUUAGUCGGAAUUACUGGGCGUAAAGCGUGCGCAGGCGGUAAGUUAAGUCUGAUGUGAAAGCCCCGGGCUCAACCUGGGAAUGGCAUUGGAAACUGGCUUGCUAGAGUGUGGCAGAGGGGGGUGGAAUUCCGCGUGUAGCAGUGAAAUUCGUAGAUAUUCGGCGGAACACCAGUGGCGAAGGCGACUCACUGGCCCGAUACUGACGCUGAGGCACGAAAGCGUGGGGAGCAAACAGG
rnacentral:rRNA from 1 species